GGCUCAGACAGCUAGGAUGUUGGCUUAGAAGCAGCCAUCAUUUAAAGAAAGCGUAAUAGCUCACUAGUCGAGUCGGCCUGCGCGGAAGAUGUAACGGGGCUAAGCAAUACACCGAAGCUGCGGCAAUAUCUUUUAGAUAUUGGGUAGGGGAGCGUUCUGUAAGCCGUUGAAGGUGAAUCGUAAGGUUUGCUGGAGGUAUCAGAAGUGCGAAUGCUGACAUGAGUAACGACAAAGGGGGUGAAAAACCUCCUCGCCGGAAGACCAA
rnacentral:rRNA from 1 species